GAUGAACGCUGGCUGCGGGCUUAACACAUGCAAGUCGAAGGAUGAAGCCCAGGUUGCUGGGUAGCUUAGUUGCGAACGGGUGAGUAACACGGUAGUAACCUGCCCUUAACUCUUGGAUAAGCCGGUGAAACUGGGUCUAAUACCGGAUAGGAGCGUCCACCGCAUGGUGGGUGUUGGAAAGAUUUGUCGGUUUUGGAUGGACUCGCGGCCUGUCAGCUUGUUUGUGAGGUAAUGGCUCACCAAGGCGACGACGGGUAGCCGGCCGGAGAGGGUGACCGGCACCACUGGGACUGACACACGGCAGAGAGCCCUACGGGAGGCAGCAGUGGGGACUAAUGCACAAUGGGCGCAAGCAUGAUGCAGCGACGCCGCGUGAGGGAUGAUGGCCUUCGGGUUGUCAACCUCUUUCAGUCGGGAAGAAGCGAAAGUGAAGGUACCUGAAGAAGAAGCACCGGCUAACUCCGUG
rnacentral:rRNA from 1 species